rnacentral:rRNA from 1 species
UGACCUCAAAUCAGGUAGGACUACCCGCUGAACUUAAGCAUAUCAAUAAGCGGAGGAAAAGAAACUAACAAGGAUUCCCCUAGUAACUGCGAGUGAAGCGGGAAAAGCUCAAAUUUAAAAUCUGGCAGUCUCUGACUGUCCGAGUUGUAAUCUAGAGAAGUGUUAUCCGCGCUGGACCGUGUACAAGUCUCCUGGAAUGGAGCGUCAUAGAGGGUGAGAAUCCCGUCUUUGACACGGACUGCCAGGGCUUUGUGAUAUGCUCUCAAAGAGUCGAGUUGUUUGGGAAUGCAGCUCAAAAUGGGUGGUAAAUUCCAUCUAAAGCUAAAUAUUGGCGAGAGACCGAUAGCGAACAAGUACCGUGAGGGAAAGAUGAAAAGAACUUUGGAAAGAGAGUUAAACAGUACGUGAAAUUGCUGAAAGGGAAACGCUUGAAGUCAGUCACGUUGGCCAGGGAUCAACCUUGCUUUUGCUUGGUGUACUUUCUGGUUGAUGGGUCAGCAUCAAUUUUGACCAUUGGAAAAAGGUCAAGGGAAUGUGGCAUCUUCGGAUGUGUUAUAGCCCUUGGUUGCAUACAAUGGUUGGGAUUGAGGAACUCAGCAUGCCGCAAGGCCGGGUUUUUAACCACGUACGUGCUUAGGAUGC